rnacentral:rRNA from 1 species
ACGUCCGUCGUGAAGAGGGAAACAACCCAGACCGCCAGCUAAGGUCCCAAAGUCAUGGUUAAGUGGGAAACGAUGUGGGAAGGCCCAGACAGCCAGGAUGUUGGCUUAGAAGCAGCCAUCAUUUAAAGAAAGCGUAAUAGCUCACUGGUCGAGUCGGCCUGCGCGGAAGAUGUAACGGGGCUAAACCAUGCACCGAAGCUGCGGCAGCGACGCUGAUGCGUUGUUGGGUAGGGGAGCGUUCUGUAAGCCUGUGAAGGUGGCCUGUGAGGGUUGCUGGAGGUAUCAGAAGUGCGAAUGCUGACAUAAGUAACGAUAAAGCGGGUGAAAAGCCCGCUCGCCGGAAGACCAAGGGUUCCUGUCCAACGUUAAUCGGGGCAGGGUGAGUCGACCCCUAAGGCGAGGCCGAAAGGCGUAGUCGAUGGGAAACGGGUUAAUAUUCCCGUACUUGGUGUUACUGCGAAGGGGGGACGGAGAAGGCUAUGUUGGCCGGGCGACGGUUGUCCCGGUUUAAGCGUGUAGGUGUGUGUUCCAGGUAAAUCCGGUUCACUUUAACACUGAGGCGUGACGACGAGGCACUACGGUGCUGAAGCAACAAAUGCCCUGCUUCCAGGAAAAGCCUCUAAGCAUCAGGUAACAUCAAAUCGUACCCCAAACCGACACAGGUGGUCAGGUAGAGAAUACCAAGGCGCUUGAGAGAACUCGGGUGAAGGAACUAGGCAAAAUGGUGCCGUAACUUCGGGAGAAGGCACGCUGACACGUAGGUGAAGUGAUUUACUCAUGGAGCUGAAGUCAGUCGAAGAUACCAGCUGGCUGCAACUGUUUAUUAAAAACACAGCACUGUGCAAACACGAAAGUGGACGUAUACGGUGUGACGCCUGCCCGGUGCCGGAAGGUUAAUUGAUGGGGUCAGCGCAAGCGAAGCUCCUGAUCGAAGCCCCGGUAAACGGCGGCCGUAACUAUAACGGUCCUAAGGUAGCGAAAUUCCUUGUCGGGUAAGUUCCGACCUGCACGAAUGGCGUAAUGAUGGCCAGGCUGUCUCCACCCGAGACUCAGUGAAAUUGAACUCGCUGUGAAGAUGCAGUGUACCCGCGGCAAGACGGAAAGACCCCGUGAACCUUUACUAUAGCUUGACACUGAACAUUGAGCCUUGAUGUGUAGGAUAGGUGGGAGGCUUUGAAGCGUGGACGCCAGUCUGCGUGGAGCCGACCUUGAAAUACCACCCUUUAAUGUUUGAUGUUCUAACGUGGACCCGUAAUCCGGGUUGCGGACAGUGUCUGGUGGGUAGUUUGACUGGGGCGGUCUCCUCCUAAAGAGUAACGGAGGAGCACGAAGGUUGGCUAAUCCUGGUCGGACAUCAGGAGGUUAGUGCAAUGGCAUAAGCCAGCUUGACUGCGAGCGUGACGGCGCGAGCAGGUGCGAAAGCAGGUCAUAGUGAUCCGGUGGUUCUGAAUGGAAGGGCCAUCGCUCAACGGAUAAAAGGUACUCCGGGGAUAACAGGCUGAUACCGCCCAAGAGUUCAUAUCGACGGCGGUGUUUGGCACCUCGAUGUCGGCUCAUCACAUCCUGGGGCUGAAGUAGGUCCCAAGGGUAUGGCUGUUCGCCAUUUAAAGUGGUACGCGAGCUGGGUUUAGAACGUCGUGAGACAGUUCGGUCCCUAUCUGCCGUGGGCGCUGGAGAACUGAGGGGGGCUGCUCCUAGUACGAGAGGACCGGAGUGGACGCAUCACUGGUGUUCGGGUUGUCAUGCCAAUGGCACUGCCCGGUAGCUAAAUGCGGAAGAGAUAAGUGCUGAAAGCAUCUAAGCACGAAACUUGCCCCGA